rnacentral:rRNA from 1 species
GAUGAACGCUAGCUACAGGCUUAACACAUGCAAGUCGAGGGGCAGCAUGAUUGAAGCUUGCUUCAAUCGAUGGCGACCGGCGCACGGGUGAGUAACACGUAUCCAACCUGCCGAUAACUCGGGGAUAGCCUUUCGAAAGAAAGAUUAAUACCCGAUAGUAUAGUAUUUCCGCAUGGUUUCACUAUUAAAGAACUUCGGUUAUCGAUGGGGAUGCGUUCCAUUAGAUAGUUGGCGGGGUAACGGCCCACCAAGUCAACGAUGGAUAGGGGUUCUGAGAGGAAGGUCCCCCACAUUGGAACUGAGACACGGUCCAAACUCCUACGGGAGGCAGCAGUGAGGAAUAUUGGUCAAUGGACGAGAGUCUGAACCAGCCAAGUAGCGUGAAGGAUGACUGCCCUAUGGGUUGUAAACUUCUUUUAUACGGGAAUAAAGUGGAGUAGGCAUACUCCUUUGUAUGUACCGUAUGAAUAAGGAUCGGCUAACUACGUG